rfam:Brassica napus, WGS project CCCW01000000 data, contig: 8384
UAGAUAUAGAAGGAGAUUCUUUCAGUCCAGUCAUGGAUAGAACAAGAAGAGGGUAGAAACAUCUGCCGACUCAUCCAUCCAAACACUUCUGGUAAAAGAAAAGAGAUUUUAUACCACAGUGGCUGUGUGAAUGAUGCGGGAGAUGUUUUCAUCUCUCUUUAUCUGUGUUUGGACUGAAGGGAGCUCCUUCUUAAUUUACA